UUCUGUGCUCUCUGACUGUCUUUAUCAUUAUGAUAGAGAGCUGUGUGUCACAGUCAAUAUCUCCACUGGAGAACAAAGUGCUGGUUCAUGCUCUUGAAGAUAAGACAGUUACUCUCUCCUGCAAGUAUGAAUACAGCGGCGAUGUGAACAGUCUGCAGUGGUAUCGUCAGUAUCCUGGAUCCAGACCAGAGUAUUUACUGAUGAUAAUUCCAACAAUAAAAGCUGUGAGCCAUGCAACUCCACCUUUCCCACGACUGAAUGCUACAGAAAAUAACAAAACAGUGGAUCUGAUCAUCUCCUCUGCUGAAGUAUCAGACUCUGCACUCUACUACUGCGCCCUGCAGCCCACAGUGACAGGAAACCCAGCUACACUGUACAAAAACAUUUUGCAUCACUCAUGCAGAGUCACAUUUGUUGGGGAAGCUGUUUGUCUUCAUCUCAUACAUAGGGACUACAUAACACAUGCAUAAGCACUGAAUAUCAUGUUAAUAAAGCAAUAUUUGAGUACUUAUGAUAUUAGCUCAUGUCUGCUAAUAUUUGCAAGAUGA